rnacentral:rRNA from 1 species
AUACGGAGGAUCCGAGCGUUAUCCGGAUUUAUUGGGUUUAAAGGGAGCGUAGGCGGACGCUUAAGUCAGUUGUGAAAGUUUGCGGCUCAACCGUAAAAUUGCAGUUGAUACUGGGUGUCUUGAGUACAGUAGAGGCAGGCGGAAUUCGUGGUGUAGCGGUGAAAUGCUUAGAUAUCAAGAAGAACUCCGAUUGCGAAGGCAGCCUGCUGGACUGUAACUGACGCUGAUGCUCGAAAGUGUGGGUAUCAAACAGGAUUAGAUACCCUGGUAGUCCACACAGUAAACGAUGAAUACUCGCUGUUUGCGAUAUACAGUAAGCGGCCAAGCGAAAGCGUUAAGUAUUCCACCUGGGGAGUACGCCGGCAACGGUGAAACUCAAAGGAAUUGGCGGGG